rnacentral:rRNA from 1 species
UUAUCGAUGGGGAUGCGUUCCAUUAGGCAGUUGGUGAGGUAACGGCUCACCAAACCUUCGAUGGAUAGGGGUUCUGAGAGGAAGGUCCCCCACAUUGGAACUGAGACACGGUCCAAACUCCUACGGGAGGCAGCAGUGAGGAAUAUUGGUCAAUGGGCGCAGGCCUGAACCAGCCAAGUAGCGUGAAGGAUGACUGCCCUAUGGGUUGUAAACUUCUUUUAUAUGGGAAUAAAGUUUUCCACGUGUGGAAUUUUGUAUGUACCAUAUGAAUAAGGAUCGGCUAACUCCGUGCCAGCAGCCGCGGUAAUACGGAGGAUCCGAGCGUUAUCCGGAUUUAUUGGGUUUAAAGGGAGCGUAGGUGGACAGUUAAGUCAGUUGUGAAAGUUUGCGGCUCAACCGUAAAAUUGCAGUUGAUACUGUCUGUCUUGAGUACAGUAGAGGUGGGCGGAAUUCGUGGUGUAGCGGUGAAAUGCUUAGAUAUCACGAAGAACU